UUGCUUAGGCAGCGUAUAUACUAAAAUUGGAAUUAUACAGAGAAGAUUAGCAUGGCCCCUGCACAAGGAUGAUGUGCAAAUUCAUGAAGCUUUCCAUAUUUUU